rnacentral:rRNA from 1 species
GACGAACGCUGGCGGCGCGCUUAACACAUGCAAGUCGAGCGAAGCGGCGGACGGGUGAGUAACACGUGAGUAACCUGCCUUAGACAUUGGGAUAGCCUCGGGAAACCGGGAUUAAUACCAAAUGGUCUAAGAUGGACUCGCGUCCCAUUAGCUAGUUGGUGGGUAACGGCCCACCAAGGCGACGAUGGGUAGCCGGCCUGAGAGGGACGACGCGCAAAGUGAAACUGAGAAGCGUACCAAACUCUACGGGAGGAAGAAUGGGGGAAUACUCCACAAGGGAUGGAACUCUGAUGCAGCGAGGCCGCGAGAACGAAGAAGGCUUUCGAGGCGUAAAUUUUUUUUAUAUGGAAAGCGGUACUAAAAGAAAAAGCCCCGGCUAACUACGUGCCAGCAGCCGCGGUAAUCC